rnacentral:rRNA from 1 species
AUUGAACGCUGGCGGCAGGCCUAACACAUGCAAGUCGAACGGUAACAGGAAGCAGCUUGCUGCUUUGCUGACGAGUGGCGGACGGGUGAGUAAUGUCUGGGAAACUGCCUGAUGGAGGGGGAUAACUACUGGAAACGGUAGCUAAUACCGCAUAACGUCGCAAGACCAAAGAGGGGGACCUUAGGGCCUCUUGCCAUCGGAUGUGCCCAGAUGGGAUUAGCUAGUAGGUGGGGUAACGGCUCACCUAGGCGACGAUCCCUAGCUGGUCUGAGAGGAUGACCAGCCACACUGGAACUGAGACACGGUCCAGACUCCCACGGGAGGCAGCAGUGGGGAAUAUUGCACAAUGGGCGCAAGCCUGAUGCAGCCAUGCCGCGUGUAUGAAGAAGGCCUUCGGGUUGUAAAGUACUUUCAGCGGGGAGGAAGGGAGUAAAGUUAAUACCUUUGCUCAUUGACGUUACCCGCAGAAGAAGCACCGGCUAACUCCGUG